UACAAAACAAACUCUGUUGUUCUUCUGCUCAGAGUCUGUGAGAAUCAAUCGACAGAGUCAGUUGAGCAAUCUGUGUGGUUAAUGAAGGUUGAAGAGAGUUUAUGUUGAUUGAAGAAAUAAAUCAGAGAGAAACAGAAUUUAGGGUUUCAUCUGAUUUUGAUGUUGUUGUGGAAUCGACAGGUUUAUUGGGUUGUUGAUAGAUAAAGAUUAAGAGGGUUGAUGCUUGAUUGAAUUAAGAGAUAGGGUUUCAUAAGAAAUCCAGAGAAUAUGUAAAAGAUGAAGUUAUAGAGUGUUUGGCGUUUGUUUUGCAGAAGGUUAGGGCGUGAUUUAGAGUCCGUGAGGUAGUGGGAAGCUUUGGUUUCAUUCGAAUUUGGUUUUGGCCUGAUUAGUGUCAGUGUGUCUAAGUGAUUUGGUGGUCAUGAUGGUGCUGAGAACUUCAUCAAGUCAGAGAGAUUCAAGAAGAUGAAUGUUGAGAUCGUUCUCGAUGACGGUGACCAAAUUGCAACCAAGGCAAGAGGGGUUUAAUGCACUGCAAAACAAUUGACAGUAUACCAAAAAAAGGGACAAUAAUAAGUGCAUGUAAAUAUUAUUAAAAUAAUGCGGCAACUAUAAGAGGGUAGGUGAUACCCAAGGAGUCAUCCAUUAAAAUUUGACUAAUGCAUGGUGGGAUUGUAUGGUCCCAAAAUAAAGUUGUAAGGUUCUCCAGUUGGUUGUCGUCUGCCGCCAGAUUGGCCAAUCCAUCCGCUGCCUGAUUGCCUUCCCUGUAGUUGUGUUUGACGAUGCAUUGGGGGAUCUGUGUCAUGAUUUGUUUGGUUUCAGAGAUCAUUCCUGAGAUGUAUCAAGGCGGAUCGACAUCUAAGGUUAGGAAUCGAUGCAAGUUUUCCGAGUCGGUUUCAAAUUCAACCUUUGGCCAGCUUCGUUCUUUUGCUGUGCUGGUCGUUAUCAGCAUUGCCCAUGAUUUAGCUGUGAGGGCUGAAUCCCUACAAAUGGUUGUGCUACUGCAACUAGGGUGUUAGCAUAAGCAUUCCUACAAAUGAAAACCUGCUCCAGCUAUUCCUGGAUGUAAAAUUAUUACAUGUAAGGCUAUUCUUUGUAUAUGGAACAUUCUAAAAAUUCUUAGAUUACCUGUAAGGCUAUAAUACCUCCCAGUAUACGUUUUU